UAUAAUCCUUAUUGAACAAUUCUUUGAGCCAAUUUCACCAUAAUGAUAAAUAGCAUUGUUCUAUCAACCAACAUGAAAAAAAUCCCAUUAAUCUACCUUAAACCUUCCCUAUAUGAAGGGCAACAAACAGGUACCUUUAUUAGCAAUACAUGAGAGUGAAAUUUCAGAUGUAUCAGUCGGACAAAGUUCUUUCAGAGUCUGGCAGUACAGAGAUUUUGCUUCAGUAAUGGGCGGAUGUAUUCAUGGUAGCCCUCAGGCACAACUGAAUCAUUCAGAGGAUCUUUCCAUGCUGCCUCGUAGAGUUUCGGAUAUACAUUUCC